rnacentral:tRNA from 1 species
GGUAAAAUGACUGAGGUUAAAAGGUGAUAAAUUGUAAAUUUAUUUAGGAGAAGAAUUCUCUUUUGCCA